CCUUUUCUUCUAAUAUCUCACGCCUUUCCCCUUCUCCCCAUUCUCUCGUCUGACUCCCCCUCUCUCUUCCCUUUCUUUUCUAUUCUCAUCUUCCUCAUCUCUUCUUCUACACACACGUUGAGGGAGAGAGCCACAGAGAGCAGAUGUGAGAGAGAUUCAAGCAGAGAUUGUGGGAGAGAGUUCCGAGACAAGGAAACAAACCAACGAGAGGAAGAGAAGAACUAAAAUGAAGAAGAAGGCAGAUUCGGCUAUGGGCUUCUUGAGGUAUUCCGGCCGUAGUUGAUGGUAUUGUAGAUGUGCACUUGGGAUAUUAUAACUGAAGCUCGCUGCGACGAUCGUAACUGCGGGACCAUGGGUGUCCUCUGUUUAUGGGUUUGUUUAUGGCUUGUGACGUCUGUGUCACUUGUUAUUGUAUAAGUCAUUUAUAUUAUGUAUUUAAUUUGAGGGAAGACUUGAAUAGAUAGAUGUAAUAUUGGCUCUUGAUUAUGAUUAAUUUAUGAUAGAUGUUUAAGAUGUGAUUUCCGCUA